rnacentral:rRNA from 1 species
UUGACCUCAAAUCAGGUAGGACUACCCGCUGAACUUAAGCAUAUCAAUAAGCGGAGGAAAAGAAACUAACAAGGAUUCCCCUAGUAACUGCGAGUGAAGCGGGAUAAGCUCAAAUUUGAAAUCUGGCAGUCUUUUUUUUCUUCUUUGGCUGUCCGAGUUGUAAUCUAGAGAAGUGCUACCUGCACUGGA